UACGUAGGGGCUAGCGUUGUCCGGAAUCAUUGGGCGUAAAGAGCGUGUAGGCGGCCCGGUAAGUCCGCUGUAAAAGUCAAAGGCUCAACCUUUGAAUGUCAGUGGAUACUGCCGGGCUAGAGUCCGGAAGAGGCGAGUGGAACUCCUGGUGUAGCGGUGGAAUGCGCAGAUAUCUGGAGGAACACCGGUGGCGAAGGCGGCAUCCUGGACCGAUACUGACGCUGAGGAGCGAAAGCCAGGGGAGCAAACGGG
rnacentral:rRNA from 1 species